AUUGAACGCUAGCGGCAUGCCUUACACAUGCAAGUCGAACGGCAGCACGGGGCAACCUGGUGGCGAGUGGCGAACGGGUGAGUAAUGCAUCGGAACGUGCCAUUGAGUGGGGGAUAACGUAGCGAAAGUUGCGCUAAUACCGCAUAUUCUGUGAGCAGGAAAGCAGGGGACCGCAAGGCCUUGCGCUCUUUGAGCGGCCGAUGUCAGAUUAGCUAGUUGGUGAGGUAACGGCUUACCAAGGCGACGAUCUGUAGCGGGUCUGAGAGGAUGAUCCGCCACACUGGAACUGAGACACGGUCCAGACUCCUACGGGAGGCAGCAGUGGGGAAUUUUGGACAAUGGGCGCAAGCCUGAUCCAGCCAUGCCGCGUGAGUGAAGAAGGCC
rnacentral:rRNA from 1 species